rnacentral:ribozyme from 1 species
CAGGGAAAGGAAAAAAAAAAAAAACAAUAACAGGAAAACUCAUCAUCCAGCAGCAGCAGCAGAAUUAUUUUUUCUCCCUUCUUCUCCGCUCUGCUCCUCCUCCUUCUUCUCCCUCAACAACAAUAAUGAUAAUACAACAGCAAAUAAACAGCAGCAGCAGUAUUGAUUUCAUUUUUACACAUCUAUUUGUGACAGCACCUCUUAUCUUGAAGAAAACAACAAGAUAUACUUUACUAUUA